AGGUUAUUCCAAUUACAGUGAUGGACAAUUACAAUCUGGUGGAAUCCUGGGUGUCUCAUAUGACUGAUAUUGAUGAGAAGCAACUAGUUUUGUAUGCUCAGAUGGCAAACCUUGUCAGUCUGAUUCUUCAAUGACCCGAGAUCAAUGUAAAGGAGAUUGCAGAAAACUUUUCUAAGUUUUCAUGUAAUGCACAUACAAUUUGUGACGCUGAACUGAAACCCCUGGGGACAGGCCAUUACCCGGUAGUUUCUAUGAUCAACCACAG